rnacentral:rRNA from 1 species
AACGAACGCUGGCGGCAUGCCUAACACAUGCAAGUCGAACGAGACCUUCGGGUCUAGUGGCGCACGGGUGCGUAACGCGUGGGAACCUGCCCUUAGGUUCGGAAUAACUCCCCGAAAGGGGUGCUAAUACCGGAUAAUGUCUUCGGACCAAAGAUUUAUCGCCUUUGGAUGGGCCCGCGUUGGAUUAGCUAGUUGGUAGGGUAAAAGCCUACCAAGGCGACGAUCCAUAGCUGGUCUGAGAGGAUGAUCAGCCACACUGGGACUGAGACACGGCCCAGACUCCUACGGGAGGCAGCAGUGGGGAAUAUUGGACACUGGGCGAAAGCAUGAUCCAGCAAUGCCGCGUGAGUGAUGAAGGCCUUAGGGUUGUAAAGCUCUUUUACCCGGGAUGAUAAUGACAGUACCGGGAGAAUAAGCUCCGGCUAACUCCGUG